rnacentral:rRNA from 1 species
CACGCCGUAAACGGUGGGUACUAGGUGUGGGUUUCCUUCCUUGGGAUCCGUGCCGUAGCUAACGCAUUAAGUACCCCGCCUGGGGAGUACGGCCGCAAGGCUAAAACUCAAAGAAAUUGACGGGGGCCCGCACAAGCGGCGGAGCAUGUGGAUUAAUUCGAUGCAACGCGAAGAACCUUACCUGGGUUUGACAUGCACAGGACGUGCCUAGAGAUAGGUAUUCCCUUGUGGCCUGUGUGCAGGUGG